ACUGUCCUAUGAUGAAGCAAUGGAAUUUGCACUGGGCACAGUGCCUGAUUUUUAUGAAGAACUGUUCCAUGCUGCCUUCCUUCUGAGGACCUGU